rnacentral:rRNA from 1 species
UACGUAGGGUCCGAGCGUUGUCCGGAAUUACUGGGCGUAAAGCGUGCGCAGGCGGUUUUGUAAGUUUGUCGUGAAAGCCCCGGGCUCAACCUGGGAAUUGCGAUGAAGACUGCAAGGCUUGAAUCUGGCAGAGGGGGGUAGAAUUCCACGUGUAGCAGUGAAAUGCGUAGAGAUGUGGAGGAACACCGAUGGCGAAGGCAGCCCCCUGGGUCAAGAUUGACGCUCAUGCACGAAAGCGUGGGGAGCAAACAGG